AUCCAUACAUGGCCAAUAAUAAGCAUAUUGCAUCAAUGCAUAUAGUUAUAAUUCAUUAUUCAUGAUGCAUGAUCACGACUACUUGCUACACAUGUGCCUUAAUUGUGUUUUAAUACGUGAUCGAAUACUUUUCUUAAACUGUGAUAAUACAUGAUACAUGUUAUUGAACUUCUACUUUAUGAUUUAACAUUAACUUAAAUGAUUUAUUGUAGUGAGAAGUUAAGUUUCUCUGUUAAGAAGGGAUCAAUAUGCUAAACGGUG
rnacentral:lncRNA from 1 species